rnacentral:lncRNA from 1 species
ACGGUACGAGUAUACGUAUCGCCUGCGCCUAGCUAGCUGACAACAAAGUCGGAGAAUGGAUUGAAACUAAAGAGCUGAAAGAAGUUAACAACAUGAAGCAGAAAGUCCCAUGCAGGAUGAUGCUUCUCUACAGUGGGUGAUGAAGGCAUGCUGGUUUACAAACUCAGGAGAGGAACAAAGAAGAGAUAUUGACGGGAUCAUAUCUAGAGAUGCAGGCCUACUACACUUCAUACGAGCAAGUGUGCUAAUAUACAUAUUUGGGUUAUCACUACAGCCCUUUCUUCUGAAAACUAGGCUACAACUUUAGUGAUGAAUGCAGAAGACAUCUACACGGGACUACGUCUUAAAGAUGCCACCCUCAUAUUAUGAAAGUGUACAAUAUAGAUGGGUUUAAACUGGAAUAUUUACAUGAUAUUUAUUUAUUAUUUGUAUUAUAUGUUUGUAGAAUACCACAUUCAAUAAAGCUAAUGAAGUUUAUUAUCUUGUCAACAUAGAAAUAAUUAAAGAUAACUAAUCCUCAAUGAAUAAACAUUAAAAUUCUAACAAUGUAAACUACCAUCUUAUAAGAUGAAACUGAGGACUGGGCAGAAAGAUUCUCCUUGAAAUUUGAGUGAUAAAGAUCUAUCAGUCCAUAUCAAAGAUUGAAUUAAUUAAUGAUAUUUUAAUUAUAAUUAAACUUGUUGAAAUUCAUUUACCUCUAUGGACGGGGGGGGGGGGGCAGCUUGCUAUCCUCUUCCUGGUGCUAUUAUUACAUGGCCCAUGGACUUAGAAAGUGAAAAGUUUUGAAUUAUAGCAUUAGUGUUGGUGGAAGUAACGGCAGUGUUGAUUGUUAAUGGGAGGGGGGGGGGUUGUUUCCCCAGUGAAAUUAACGGUAUACCAAUGUAAAGUUAAUUAAAAAAAGAGAAAACUAUUCUUAAAAAUAAAAAUUAUACAGGACAUGGCCUCCUAACAAAAA